UACAGAGGUCCCAAGCGUUGUUCGGAUUCACUGGGCGUAAAGGGUGCGUAGGCGGUCGGGUAAGUCUGAUGUGAAAUCUCACAGCUUAACUGUGAAACUGCAUUGGAUACUAUCCGGCUAGAGGAAUGGAGGGGAGACUGGAAUACUUGGUGUAGCAGUGAAAUGCGUAGAUAUCAAGUGGAACAUCAGUGGCGAAGGCGAGUCUCUGGACAUUUCCUGACGCUGAGGCACGAAAGCCAGGGGAGCAAACGGG
rnacentral:rRNA from 1 species